CCACACAGGAACUCCCCCUUACAGGGCCGUACUGGUUCAUACAGGCCACACAGGAGCUCCCCCUUACAGGGCCGUACUGGUCCACACAGGCCACACAGGAACUCUCCCUUACAGGGCCGUACUUGUCCAUACAGGCCACACAGGAAUUCCACCUUACGGGGCCGUACUGGU